GGAGGGGUCGCUGCCGGACCGCCCAGCCGAUUGGCCGCCCGCGGGCAGCGCCCCGGCCGCCCAUUGGCAGCGUGGCCACGAGGCGAAGGCGUGAUCAGCCGGGAGGUGACCCCGCGCUCCCGCUCAACCCCCUCGGUGCUGCCCACGCUGUGCCGGGGGUGUCGUUGGUGUCGUGGGGCGGAGAGCUGGGCCGGAGCUCUUCCAGGCCGAUACGCAGCAUUCUUCCCACGGAUACCUUAGUGCGGAAACAUGGAGUUAACACGGGGAGAUUGCUGCGGCUGAGGGAAAGCCUUUAGCUCAUCCAAUUUCCUCUAAUAGUUUUAGUGAGAGAAAAACUGCCACGCACUGCCAGGCUCAGAAGUGAUUUUAAAGUCAGUGGCAGUAAAAUCACUUCUGACAAAACAAACCAUUAAGCGUGAUUGAAAAUAUCUUGAAGGAAAUUUGCUGCUCUCUCUCACAGUUGCAUGAGGUGCACACUCUGAACUCCCCUCAGCUCAGCACUACACAGGAGCCGAUGCUGCCUCACCCUGCGCAUGCUCACCUGCUUUCUCAGCAGCAACAAUAUUCUGGUUCCAGUGCCUGACCGCUCCUUCAGAGAAUAAAUCUUUCCUAAUAUACAGCCCAAACUUCCCCUGGCAAUUUUAAGCCAUUCUCUCUCAUUCUAUAGCUGUUACCUGAAGAAGAUAACACCCACCUCACAACAACCUCCCUUCAAGUAGAUGUAAAGAGGGAUGAGGUCUCCCCUCGAUUCUCUUCCACACUAAGCAAUCCCAGCUCUCACAGCAUCUCCUCAUAAAACUUGUGCUCCAGACCCCUCACCAUCUUCGCUGCCCUUCUCCAAACACAUGCCAGGGCUCUUUCUUGCAUUAAGGUGCCCAAAACUGAACACAGAACUCAAGGUGUGGUCCCACCAGUGCCAAGUACAGAGGAAUGAUUACCUCAUUAAUCACUAUUACAAGGCAUAUAUAUAUAUGCUUUGUAAUAUAUAUAUAUUUCAUUUUUUUCAGUGAAGAAAUACUUUGUAAUUUAACUUGUUCACUUCCCUAUUUAACCAAAUCAAGCUGGAACUAUGAAAGAAAUUUCCAGGUAACAGCCUGAUCUGACAUUAAAACAUUUUCAUCUAGUGCAUGUUGAUUUCCUUAGGAAAUGUUAACAGAGAUUGGCAGCUUUACAGAAAAGAUGACCUUCAUUCUGGCCUUGGACACAGCUUAAGAACCUCACCAAACUUACGCUGAGGCACCAGAGCCCUCCUUGGUUCUGAAGAAAUAAAAGCAAACUUGAGGAACACCAAAGUUUCAAUACUUUUUCUUCAAAACAGCAGGGUAUUUUUAAAGUACACUUUAGGCCACAACACCCAAGGCAACUAAAUUACUCCUAAUUAUUCAGACUGGUUCCAACUGAACAGAAAUCCCUGCUGAACAACAUAAAAGGUGCCACAAUACAGUCGUCUUUGCUAGAGUCUCUAACAGAAGAAGGCAAAGAGUUAUACAUGCUCUGUAUAGCCAAGAGUUUUGCCUAGGAGAUCAACUUGUACUCCAUGGGAACAAGGCACCCAAGGAGUGCCCCAUCCUGACCAGGAAGAUCAAAACCAGCAGCUCCCAUGAGUUCAGAGGAUAACCUUCGCUGGAAGCUUUGCCACUCAGCACUUUAAAAAAUCCAUGAAUAAACCUGACAGUUACCUGAA